rnacentral:rRNA from 1 species
AGAGGAGACAGGUGGUGCAUGGUUGUCGUCAGCUCGUGUCGUGAGAUGUUGGGUUAAGUCCCGCAACGAGCGCAACCCUUAUAUUUAGUUGCCAGCAUUUCGGAUGGGCACUCUAGAUAGACUGCCGGUGACAAACCGGAGGAAGGUGGGGAUGACGUCAAAUCAUCAUGCCCCUUAUGACCUGGGCUACACACGUACUACAAUGGCCGGUACAACGGGCUGCGAAAUCGCGAGAUGGAGCCAAUCCCAACAAAGCCGGUCUCAGUUCGGAUUGCAGGCUGCAACUCGCCUGCAUGAAGUCGGAAUUGCUAGUAAUCGCGGAUCAGCAUGCCGCGGUGAAUACGUUCCCGGGUCUUGUACACACCGCCCGUCACACCACGAGAGUUUAUAACACCCGAAGUCGGUGGGGUAACCGCAAGGAGCCAGCCGCCGAAGGUGGGAUAGAUGAUUGGGGUGAAGUCGUAACAAGGUAGCCGUAUCGGAAGGUGCGGCUGGAUCACCUCCUUUCUAUGGAGA